GAACUUUCCUCACUUGCGUCAACUUUUACACAUGACUCCAUCCUCUUACCUAAGCAUUUUAUUAUAUAAUAUUACAGGGUUUGUUCAGAAAGUAAUAGGGCUGAGUCGAUUAAAAACAAUUUAUUGAACCAAUCGUUACAAUUCUUUAAAAACUUUCAAAAUAUGCUCCUUCUGAGUCGGUGCAGCGUUGCCAGUGCAUUUCCAAACAUUGAAGGCGUCACAGAAGGCAUUCUCCGGAAUAGACUUGAGAGCCGAGGUGCAUGCUGCUUGGAUCCCCUCUAUGGCGUGUGUCAUUCGGAAGAUUGAAUCUUUGUCCGGGUAUCAUACUUAAAGGUCCGGUCCAUGACUCGGGAUCUGUGCUUACGUUAUUCAAAAAUUGAGGGUGACACAUGUUAAAAUUUUCUUAGCACACUUCCUCCCACAUCAAUUUCUGGUCGUCAAUAAGUACUUCUGGGACCACUUUCCCGCACACCUUGCUUACGUUCAAGUGAUCCAUCACAAUGUUAUGAACCACACAUUUUGAUAAAUUUAACAUCUAGGNAAUUAAACGAAUACUUAGUCAACGGUCUGAGUUCAAAACUUUGCGAAAACGAGUCACAUUGUCCGUGUUUGUCUAAGUCGCAGGCUGUCAUUAGCGUCCACUUCUCGCCCUUACAAAUAGGCCUAGUGCUACCGAAUGACACCACUUCUUGCUAAGGCAACAUUUNGGUAAACCUGCUUGAUCAUAUCAAACGUAUGCGUCGCAGAUUUACCGAGAUUUUACACAGAAUUUAAUCGCGCUAACGAACGCUGUAUUUUCGGGUUCCAAAACUCACGGAAAGACGUCGUGAAAAUGUUUGUUCUGAUUCUCCAGAUGCUCGGAGUCAACUGACCAGCCGCUCGUUCGUUAGCUAGGAAUGCCCUUUACGGAAUCCAGUAGGUACGCGCACGCUCCGAAGUACAGACGCGGCGGAAGAAAAUCAACCCUAUUACUUUCCAGAGAAACCCUGUACUUCCUUGUUUGUUAAAUUUAUGUGAGACAUCCGUAGGCAUGGCAAGAGUGUUUAUACUCGUACUCAUUUUAAUUUAUUAGAACUAAGAUUGCUAAAUAAAAAAGAGGAAUUAUGGCAGUGCUCCAAUUUCUCACAAUCGUUAGCACAGAAAUGAUGUCCACUACGAUUGUAAGAAGAAAGUUUUUAAAAAAUAGAUUUCUAAUUUAGUAUAAAGUGUGAAUUCUUUUAAACGUUAACAGUUUAAUUUAGUAAAUUUUAAGUGAAAAAUGUGUGUAAAGUGUGUUAAAUGUAGUGAAAUAGCUUGUUGAAAUGUUGGAUUUUAUGUAAUUUAUGAACUUCAAAGUCGAAUAUUUCGUAAACUGAGCGUUUGCGGUAUCUAUACCUCUGUAUAGUCUUUAAUAAAAUUAAUUAAGAGUUCCUCUUUUCAACGAUACCUUAAAAUCGCGGCACCAAAGAAAUCGGGAUUUUCACAAAGUUCAUUCAUUAUUGUUUUUUUGUUUUAUUUAUUUAUGAGCUGUAAGACAUUAUGUGAAUUUAAUAUUAUAACAGAACAGAUUAACAGAAAUAGUUGAACUCCAGUGAGAACUGCUAUUAUAUUCUAUAUUUUAAAUUGUUUCUAUAAUUAAGAUUUUAUUUGCAAUAAACACAAGCCGUAAUCUCUAAAAGAUAAAUUCAGCAUAUGCUUUUUUAUUGGCAUCGCUUUUAAUAGCCCUAGCCAAAAUAUUUGUAAGUAUCAGGCAUUNUUUCAACAUAAAUUGUGGAUUGUUAUCGAAUUUNAUUAUUAAGGUAUAGUUUAAAUAUUUAUUUCUUUAUGAUUUGGUCACUAGCCACAGACGUAGACGUGGAGAUAUGGAACUGGAAACUACAAAUCCUAAUUUUUAAAAAUGUGGCAUACGGUUUGUGAAAUUAAUCUGUCAAACCUGAAGUAGUGUUAUAAUUUCUAAAGCAAAAGAAAAAUGUUACAUUGUUUGGUUUAUUUCUAUUUUUACACUUUGUGAAAGUUUUUUCAAUCUUAAUAAUUUACUUUUAACUUAAUAAUAAUUAAAAACUGAUUGAAUAUUAUCAAUCAGUUUCGUAUGACUUCGAUACCGCAACUCUUAAAAGUGAACACUCACCUGCAUUGGCUAACGCUGAAAUCGAACAUUAUAAGUACGCUAUUCGAAUUUCAAAAAACAACCACAAAUGCAGAGCAAUAUAUCCAGCUGUUCAAUGACGCAGUAGUAAAGUACAAACCGGAGUGGAAAUUAUUAUAUACCGACGGAUCCAAAUCAGACACCCACACUUCAUUUGCGGUAACAAACGACCAAGGUGUCACCUGUUCGAGCUGAAGCGGCUGCGAUAUAUGAAGCGGUUCUAUUUGUCGCACAAACAGGAAAAAAAUAUACAAUAAGUACGGAUAGCAAAUCGACAAUUAACGCUAUUUUGAAUGAGACAAACUCAGUGCUGAUCAACAAUAUAAAAGAAAUUUUGUAUCAACCCAAAAUAGAAUUAAGAUCAUGUGGAUCCUUGGGCAUACUGGUAUUAGAGGAAACCAACUUGUAGAUGACCUUGCAAAAAAAGCUGGAAAAGAACCACUACUUUCAUUCGAUCACUGUAUGCUGAAAGCCAUUCGCAACAUGGUAAAAAAAAGUUGUCCACGAGUCAGCAUCGAGAGAUUGGUCAAAUUUUCAGCAACAUUACAAGGAACAUAAUCUCUCUGGUAACAAGCCAAACUACCCAACUGAUUGCUCUUGCGAAGAUAUAAAAACGUUUGUUCGCCUGAGAAUAGGGCACACUUUCAAAACUCACAGUCAUCUUUUAAACAAAACGGCUAAACCAAGCUGUUCAUAUUGUAACACAGUACAACAGCUAAUCUGGGGGUGUAAUCAGCCAAAUAUAUCAGUAAAUCACAUCCUAAAUGAAUGCACCGCUUUAAAUACAUCCAGGACAACUACCUUUGGUAAAAGGAAACCAUUAAAUCGAAAGCACCAAAUACUGACAACAACAGGGCAAUCAACAAUUUCCUAAAAAUAUCCACAAACCGUAAGCCGACGAACACUAUACCAAAUAAGUAUAUGAAUACCAUUUCAUAGGAAACAGCACAGUGAUGCCGCUCAAAAUUAUAAUAUGAAGUAUUCGCGAGAAUUCGUACACUGGAGGACGAAUCAACAAAAUUUAAAUGUAUAAGAGAAAAUGUGUUGAAAUUAAAGUUGUAUCAUAAGUAAGAAAAUA
rnacentral:lncRNA from 1 species